rnacentral:lncRNA from 1 species
GUCGACCAGGAGCAAGACCAAAGGGGGAAAACCCUAACUUUCACAAAAUCUCAAGAUUAGGAAGAUAAUAAGAGCCCAAAAUAAUGCAUGAACUCGAAUUUUCAACCAUCUAAGCUUGUUCAUCAAAAGGCGUGAAGGAAGAAAGCUCGAACACUAGUAAAGCGGGAGGUGUACAAGAUCGAGGUAAAACUCCACUUUAGGCGAUUUGGAGAUAUGGAGCGAGCACGUGUCCACGCUUUAUCAUACC